rnacentral:misc_RNA from 1 species
UCUCCGUAGGUGAACCUGCGGAGGGAUCAUUACAGAGUUCAUGCCCUACCGGGUAGAUCUCCCACCCUAUGUUAUUAUUACUUUGUUGCUUUGGCGGGCCGUUAGGCUCCGGCCCGACUACCGGCCCCGGCUGGUAAGCGCCCGCCAGAGGACCAAAACCCUGAAUAUUAGCGUCGUCUGAGUACUAUAUAAUAGUUAAAACUUUCAACAACGGAUCUCUUGGUUCUG